rnacentral:rRNA from 1 species
GAUGAACGCUGGCGGCGUGCCUAAUACAUGCAAGUCGAGCGAACAGACGAGGAGCUUGCUCCUCUGACGUUAGCGGCGGACGGGUGAGUAACACGUGGAUAACCUACCUAUAAGACUGGGAUAACUUCGGGAAACCGGAGCUAAUACCGGAUAAUAUAUUGAACCGCAUGGUUCAAUAGUGAAAGACGGUUUUGCUGUCACUUAUAGAUGGAUCCGCGCCGCAUUAGCUAGUUGGUAAGGUAACGGCUUACCAAGGCAACAAUGCGUAGCCGACCUGAGAGGGUGAUCGGCCACACUGGAACUGAGACACGGUCCAGACGCCUACGGGAGGCAGCAGUAGGGAAUCUUCCGCAAUGGGCGAAGCCUGACGGAGCAACGCCGCGUGAGUGAUGAAGGUCUUCGGAUCGUAAAACUCUGUUAUUAGGGAAGAACAAAUGUGUAAGUAACUAUGCACGUCUUGACGGUACCUAAUCAGAAAGCCACGGCUAACUACGUG